rnacentral:rRNA from 1 species
CAGUCGCCGCGGGAACACGUAGGGUGCGAGCGUUAAUCGGAAUUACUGGGCGUAAAGCGUGCGCAGGCGGUUAUAUAAGACAGAUGUGAAAUCCCCGGGCUCAACCUGGGACCUGCAUUUGUGACUGUAUAGCUAGAGUACGGUAGAGGGGGAUGGAAUUCCGGUGUAGCGGUGAAAUGCGUAGAUAUCGGAAGGAACACCAGUGGCGAAGGCGGCUACCUGGACUGAGACUGACACUGAGGCGCGAGAGCGUGGGGAGCAAACAGGAUUAGAUACCCCCGUAGUCCCUGUCUCUUAUACA